rnacentral:rRNA from 1 species
AGAACGAACGCUGGCGGCAGGCUUAACACAUGCAAGUCGAGCGGGUAGCAAUACCAGCGGCAGACGGGUGAGUAACACGUGGGAACCUUCCUAGAGGUACGGAACAACGCAGGGAAACUUGCGCUAAUACCGUAUGUGCUCUUGCGAGGAAAGAUUUAUCGCCUUUAGACGGGCCCGCGUCGGAUUAGCUAGUUGGUGGGGUAAUGGCCUACCAAGGCAACGAUCCGUAGCUGAUCUGAGAGGAUGAUCAGCCACACUGGAACUGAGACACGGUCCAGACUCCUACGGGAGGCAGCAGUGGGGAAUCUUGCGCAAUGGGGGAAACCCUGACGCAGCAACGCCGCGUGGAGGAUGAAGUCCCUUGGGACGUAAACUCCUUUCGAUCGGGACGAUUAUGACUGUACCGGAAGAAGAACGCCCCGGCUAACGUUCGUGCCAGCAGCCGC